GAUGAAGAACGCAGCGAAAUGCGAUACUUGGUGUGAAUUGCAGAAUCCCGUGAACCAUCGAGUCUUUGAACGCAAGUUGCGCCCGAAGCCAUUAGGCCGAGGGCACGCCUGCCUGGGUGUCACACAUCGUUACCCCAACGCAAACAUGUAACAAUGUUGCUGCGCGGGGUGUAUGCUGACCUCCCGCGAGCACCCGCCUCGUGGUUGGUUGAAAUCUGGGUUCAUGGCCGACUUCGCCGUGAUAAAAUGGUGGAUGAGCCACGCUCGAGACCAAUCACGUGCGAGCCGGUCAGUUCUGGACCCAUCGACGACCCUUUGCGUGCACGCACGCUCCCAACGAGACCUCAGGUCAGGCGGGGCUACCCGCUGAGUUUAAGCAUAUCAAUAAGCGGAGGA
rnacentral:misc_RNA from 1 species